ensembl:lincRNA Gm43757 predicted gene 43757
AAGGAGGCUGGGCUGAGGAGGAGAACCCAGCCUUUCUAAAGCCAAGGCACACCAGAAUUGAGACUAUUUUGGUAGCACCCUGAGGGUGUUGUAUGAGGCCCCUGGAGUGUAGAAGGACCCACUGAGGAUCCAGGAACCCUUGACAGAAUGGCCUAAGUUUAGAUAGGACCAGUGCUCUGUCGUGAAUGGAGUGAGAACCAAAACCUCCAGGAUGCAUCCAGCGGUGUGUUUCCACAGGGAUUAUAAAUCCAGUCCAGUUGACAAUAAAGGUUAGCCACCACUCGGCCAUCACACUCCCACUUGGCACUUCCUUCCAUUCUGAGCACACCAGAAUCGUCCUCGGGGCUGAUGGCCCCACGAAACAGAAUUGUUCCAGGGACGAAGCCUUUGAUGGAUUGGCUGCUCUGCUGGCUGCUUUGGUAGAAUGGUUCAUAAAUAUUAACAGGCUGACAAACAUGUCAUGUCACACCUGUGACCAAGAAACACCCAGGCUUCUACCACUUUGUUCUUUUGAUAGACACCAUCUCCUUCUCUCCUGAACUUGCUCUAAUGGGUCUAUUCCUCCACCACCCUCCUCAGAGGACCAGGGUUCAGUUCCCAACACCCCUAUCAGGUGCUGGAAAGAUAGAUGUCACCAAGUCCUCCGGC